AGCAGUUCACAGAUGAUGUUGAUGAGUAGAUCAGAAGAUGAGAAACUCGAGAUCUGGCUGCAAAAAUUCCGGGCUCUUGAAGAAAAACUAAAGAAAGAAAUGAAAAUAUGAAUAAUAUUCAAUCAAAGGAUCCACAUGAUGAAAUUCUGGAAAUUCCACAGGGAAAGCCAAUAAGAAUUUUUUAAUUGACCAUCUCUGCUCAAAAUCCUUGAAAGCCGUUUUAGCUGAUGCCCUAAUUGCUGAAUACACUUUUCUCCCAGACUGGAAUUAAAAAUUAUUCCAUUUUAGGCAUAAAAACACACUUCGAAAUAUGCUGAGGAAGGAACCCGCUCUCCUCUUGACCAAAUGGGGUGAACUAUUUGCUGUUCUGAAGUGGGGUGCGGCCAAAAAACUGUCAAACAAAACCACUGACAUCUUUAUUGGCAUUAGUUACAAUGGACACUAGCAUCCCCAUAGGUUAACGGAACUUUUUACUUCACAGCUUCAAGAACAUUCCCUCUAGGCCCUGCAGCCAGGACAUAUUCCCAACAGAGACCAAAUGAAUCUUCCAGCUUGCCCAUUUCAAGCAGACGUAUUCCCAACAGAGACCAAAUGAAUCUUCCAGCUUGCCCAUUUCAAGCAGACAUGUUCCCAACAGAGACCAAAUGAAUAUUCCAGCUUGCCCAUUUCAAGCAGAUCUGGACCAUCUGUAAUGGACUAAAGCUCAUGGUUCCAGUUCUGGCAGCAGUCUGAACAAUCAUCAGACAAUUUCAUUCUAAUUCUGUUCUGGUACAAUGAUCGUCUGCUCAACAUCCCCCUUUCUAUGGUGGAAGUGGUACACAAGCCCUCGAAGGUACAGAUAUCUUCAUCUUUUAAAAACCUGGGCCAGUGAUUUUUUUUCACACAGUAAUUGGGACAAAUUAAUUACCACUCUGACAACUGAGACGUUCAUUUUUCAUGAUGAGCUUGGACCUGCAGCAUCAGCAUGUAUAAUGAUACGUUUGGUUCGUGGACGGCGCCACAAUCUCGAUGGUUAAG